AAAAAAAAAAAAGCUAAGUCAACUGAGGGGCAAAAAUGUCAUUUUGCCCCUCCAACCCAAAUAGGGGUCCAAGGAAAACCCAGCCAGAUUGCCUGCAAAAGAAAGAAGAAGUUAGAGAGAAGUUAGUGAGGAGUCGACCGGGAAGAUUAACGGACCGCCGCCGGAAUCCAUCUCCAAACGAGACUAGUACCAGGAUUGAGAGGCUAGCAAGGCCGACGCUCCAUCAAAACCUAAGAACAUUUCGCGAGGAACAACUCACGCACGGUCUGUGAAGAAGUUUGGCCGAGACCUCAACCCAAAGGCGGAGAUCCGAGAGUCAUCCGAGAACGGGACUUAAUUU